UCAGUCCCUUCUCCAGCUCCUCCAUUGGGAACCUCUCGCUCAGUCCAGUGGUUGGCUGUGAGCAUCCGCCUCUGUGUUUGUCAGGCUCUGGCAGAGCCUCGCAGGAGACAGCCCUAUCAGGCUUCCAUCAACAAGCACUUCCUGGCAGCCUCAAUAACUUCUAAGUAGUGGCUUUGAGUAGCCUGUGUUCUGUUCCUCAUGCCCUUGGUCAUCUAUGUUUAAACGAAGCCUCCGGUCACCACUUCCUCUGCUGCCUUGAAUGAAAAAACGUCUUAGAGGAUGAGACCCACUGCAAAUAAACUGAACCUAGCCAACUCCAGGAUAUAUGCCAGCAGAAGUGCCAGGAGAGCAAACACAAAUUGGCCGUGGUGGCACGACCCAGCAGAAACAGUGAGGCCUCCAAAGAAUCAGCAUAAGUCAGCAGAUGUGACCAGGACCAGCUGGGACACCACUAGCAGAUGUGACCAGAACCAGCUGGGACACCACCAGCAGAUGUGACCAGGACCAGCUGGGACACCACCAGCAGAUGUGACCAGGACCAGCUGGGACACCAGGAGAAGUUCUUUAUCAUCAGGGACAACUGUAGACCAACUAAGUGUUGCAAGGAAAACACUCCUUCAUGUGUCUGCCCCAGCAAAACACCACCCAACACAACUGACUUUCCAAAGAAACCGUAAGUUUCCACUUCACUAUGAUUUAGUGAGAUAUUAUUUUUCAACUAUAUGGUAGUAUUUUCAUUACCUUUUUAUUGAUAGCUGUUAAUUUUACAUGAUUCUACUUUACAAUUUCCAAGGAUAUUAUAAAAGAAUAUUUAACUUUCAUUUAUUUUUUUGUAUGAGACACCAUUUUAUUUUGUUAUUAAUAUAUGUGUCUUAAUAUUUAAGGUGGGUUUUCUGGAAAUAACAUAUGGUAGUUUUUGUUUGUUUUUAUUUUAAUCCAAAGAAUUGUGCCCUUUAAUGUUGGUGGACUCACAACAUUGAUGAAGGUGGUUUUUGAUGCGGUUGAAUUAAUAUAAACUAUGUUUGUGACUAUUUUGCAUUUGCUAUCCUUGUACAUCCCCUCCCUCCCCUGCCCAGCCCCAGCCCCCCAAAAACCGAGCCAAACACAAAAACAAAACCAACCAACCAACCAAACCAAUCCAAAUGAACAAAAACCCCAACUGAAGUAAAUAGACCUUCCAUCAAGUAAGAAGGUCGGGAAAGGGAACCAUUUAACUAACAGCCGUGGAUUCAGUCUGCCCUUCCUAAGACUGAUCCUAUGAAUGUCACCCAUACAGCUCAGAACUUCAUGAUCCCUGUUUUCCUGGGUGGAACCAGUGUCCAUAGUGGGCUGGCAUCUUGACUUCUUUAACUCUCUGGAAAUCUUGGUGGUUUUUCACCACCAGGUCAUCAGGUUUUGAGAAAACUGGAGGAGGCUAGGUUUAGCUAGAACAAAUCACUCUGAGGACGGUUUUUGUUACGUAGAGAACAAUGCCCUGCCAUAUUCAUGAAUGGUUCCAUUUACUGUCUACUGCCAAAACACACAGGGAAACUUUAUUCCAGUAAUUAGUUUGAGGAUCAGUAGAACCCCUGAAUGAGAAGUGAAAUUCACAGUGGUUAGGUUGGAACUUAACUUUCAUUUAUAUCUACUUCUAGUAACAACUCCUUUGCACCAUUUGCCCAAUAAUCUUUCUCCUUUUUCUCUCCAUACUUAUGUACACAUUUGUUCUGACCCAGUUUGUAAGAGAACAUCACAGAUACAUUAUUUUCCUCUAAACACCCCAAUGUGUGUUUCCUUUUUUUUCUUGGUCUCAUUCUUCUCUCGCCGUCCUACCCAUUCAGCCCUAUCUUUCCUUUCAAGAACCCAGUAAUCUGUGGCCGCUGGCAGCUCCAAGUCACACCUUUCUGAAACCUGGGAAUAAUAUUUGUUGCUUUUCUUCCUCUCUUCCGCUUGCAAAGCUCCACAACAUGACUCCAGAGGGGAGCACUGAGCUGCACUUCAGAUUUUUUUCUCUUUUAAAAGACAGACCUGAAGAUUUGAAUUUUUGUCAUCGACCAAAGACUAUUUCAUCUAAGAAAGGGGAAUGUGUAUUCUUCUGUUAAUAUCCCACGUAUUACAUUCCCUUUGAGAAGCAGGUUUUGAAGCUGAAUUUAGUGUCUCCUUCAUUGCGGACACUGUGUGGAGGAGUGCUUCACCAGUCUGCUGGGUGGUGCAUAAAGUACAAUUACCCUUGUAGUCUGGGACAGUGUCCAAGUGACAACUCAGGUCAUUUGGACACUGUGACACUCUACAGGACUGACAGUUUUUCACUUUGAAAGUGGAAUUCAAGUUAUAUCUAUUAUAAAUGAUAAAUCGAAGCACCUACUGAACUCUUCCUACAUCAAAUUAAUCUUCUGUGCCCCAAAAUGUUCAUUAUUGUAUGACUGAUAUUUAGAAAUUGGCCUAUCAUAUUAAUACCAUUAGGCAUGUGAUAUAAAACUUCUAUGUUAUGUUACUUAUGGUAUUUAAUGAACUGCAUAUUAUAUACCUUUUAUACUUGAAACUAGUUCAUCAGUGUGAUAUAAAAUGUAAUAUUUUAUCAAAAUUACCAUUCUUCCAAAUAUUGUUUAACUAAUUUUAAAGGGCUGAAUGCAUUAGCGUUUGCUGCAGGUGAGCAAAAAUUAUUUUCAUCUUUUGGAAGUCAAAAGACCAUGCUGUUUUCUCAGCCAUAAGUACCUCAAUGACAAUGCAAUUAAUAGUUGAAGUAAAAAACUUCAUUAACAUUUGUGAUGGAGUCGUGCUCCUCAACUGCACAUACAACUCUGAGGUACGUUGUUGACCCCUUGACUUUUAGGUUGUAUAUUUCAUGUAUAUUUAGGUUCAUAUUAUCACUUGUCACAGCUGGUGAAAUGGCCACUGAACUAGCCCAUUAAUGGCACAAUAUU